rnacentral:lncRNA from 1 species
GUGAAGUGGGGCUUUCUUUUUCAGAGGUGGUUCAAUCUGAAAUGUGUGAUGCUGGGGUUAAGGGCAUGUGAUUAAUAAACCAGUGAGUGAUUGGUUUGGCACCGCCCUAAGCUUGGCAGUCUGGAUAAAAUAAGAGGAACAAAAGACGCUGUUUGCUUUUGCUACCCUGUGAGCACCACGGACUGUUUCUCUUCUGUGACACCUCUCUGCUGUGUGCUACUCUGCCUUGGAGACAGCUGACUAUGGACAAAAACCUCUACAAACUGUAGAUAAGAACCUAAAGAUUAAAAUCAGAGAGAACUGCAAAGAAGAUCAGAAAUUUAAUAUAUCGGGAAGAUCAAGGCCCUCAAUUGUUUAUGGAGCCUGAUAGAAGUUUCAUCAGGUGCUACUGACUCUUAGGACUCAGAAGGUUCCCCUCUCUCCUGUGUUUGAGCUGUUCCAGUUCUCAGCCUGAACUUCGCACCCCUCAUACAGUGGCCUGGGGAUUUCUGAAUCUGUCACACCAUGAGCAAGCAGAAGAGGAAGAGCAAUAUUUCUGGACUAUUCAUCAAGACAUCUCAUUCCACAAGCAGCAUCUGACUUUGUUAAGAAACAAAAAGGCAUUCAACCAGAAGCCAGAGGCAACAUGAUUUAUGGGGUUGGAAGAAUCAUUGUUUUAACCAUCUCAAAAUAGAAUCUUCUCUAUAAGAGCAAGGAUCAUGUUUCAUUUCUGAAUGCUACUGCCUAGCUCAGCAUCUGCUACACAGCAGGCAC